rnacentral:rRNA from 1 species
AACGAACGCUGGCGGCAUGCCUAACACAUGCAAGUCGAACGAGACCUUCGGGUCUAGUGGCGCACGGGUGCGUAACGCUUGGGAACCUGCCCUUAGGUUCGGAAUAACUCCCCGAAAGGGGUGCUAAUACCGGAUAAUGUCUUCGGACCAAAGAUUUAUCGCCUUUGGAUGGGCCCGCGUUGGAUUAGCUAGUUGGUAGGGUAAAAGCCUACCAAGGCGACGAUCCAUAGCUGGUCUGAGAGGAUGAUCAGCCACACUGGGACUGAGACACGGCCCAGACUCCUACGGGAGGCAGCAGUGGGGAAUAUUGGACAAUGGGCGAAAGCCUGAUCCAGCAAUGCCGCGUGAGUGAUGAAGGCCUUAGGGUUGUAAAGCUCUUUUACCCGGGAUGAUAAUGACAGUACCGGGAGAAUAAGCUCCGGCUAACUCCGUG